AGAGUUUGAUCCUGGCUCAGGAUGAACGCUAGCGGCAGGCUUAACACAUGCAAGUCGAGGGGCAGCGCGGGAGUAGCAAUACUUCUGGCGGCGACCGGCGCAAGGGUGCGUAACGCGUGAGCGACAUGCCCGUGACCGGGGGAUAACCGAUGGAAACGUCGCCUAACCCCCCAUAGGAUCAUACACCGCAUGGUGUCUGAUUGAAAACCCUGGUGGUCACGGAUUGGCUCGCGUCCCAUUAGCUAGUCGGCGGGGUAACGGCCCACCGAGGCGACGAUGGGUAGGGGUUCUGAGAGGAAGGUCCCCCACAAUGGAACUGAGACACGGUCCAUACUCCUACGGGAGGCAGCAGUGAGGAAUAUUGGUCAAUGGGCGGAAGCCUGAACCAGCCAUGCCGCGUGCGGGACGACGGCCCUACGGGUUGUAAACCGCUUUUGUGUGUGAGCAAUAAGGUGGCUUCGCGCCACCGAUGAGAGUAGCAUACGAAUAAGCAUCGGCUAACUCCGUGCCAGCAGCCGCGGUAAUACGGAGGAUGCGAGCGUUAUCCGGAUUCAUUGGGUUUAAAGGGUGCGUAGGCUGUGCGUUAAGUCAGGGGUGAAAUACCGUCGCUCAACGUCGGGGCUGCCCUUGAUACUGGCGUGCUGGAGUGCGGAUGCCGUUGGAGGAAUGAGUGGUGUAGCGGUGAAAUGCUUAGAUAUCACUCAGAACACCGAUUGCGAAGGCAUCUGACGAAUCCGUAACUGACGCUGAGGCACGAAAGCGUGGGGAUAGAACAGGAUUAGAUACCCUGGUAUUCCACGCCGUAAACGAUGAUGGCUAACCGCCUGCGAUAUAAUGUAGGUGGCCAAGCGAAAGCGAUAAGCCAUCCACCUGGGGAGUACGACCGCAAGGUUGAAACUCAAAGGAAUUGACGGGGGCCCGCACAAGCGGAGGAACAUGUGGUUUAAUUCGAUGAUACGCGAGGAACCUUACCCGGGCUCGAACGGCUGGCGAACGACACAGAGAUGUGAAGGUCCUUCGGGACGCCAGUCGAGGUGCUGCAUGGUUGUCGUCAGCUCGUGCCGUGAGGUGUCGGCUCAAGUGCCAUAACGAGCGCAACCCUUGCCGUCAGUUGCCAUCAAGUAGUGUUGGGGACUCUGGCGGGACUGCCACCGCAAGGUGUGAGGAGGGGGGGGAUGACGUCAAAUCAGCACGGCCCUUACGUCCGGGGCGACACACGUGUUACAAUGGCGGCCACAGAGGGAGGCUACCCCGCGAGGGGAUGCGGAUCUCGAAAAGCCGUCCCAGUUCGGAUCGGAGUCUGCAACCCGACUCCGUGAAGUUGGAUUCGCUAGUAAUCGCGCAUCAGCCAUGGCGCGGUGAAUACGUUCCCGGGCCUUGUACACACCGCCCGUCAAGCCAUGGAAGCCGCGGGCGCCUGAAGUCCGUGACCGGGAGGAGCGGCCUAGGGCGAAAGUGGUAACUGGGGCUAAGUCGUAACAAGGUAGCCGUACCGGAAGGUGUGGCUGGAACACCUCCUU
rnacentral:rRNA from 1 species